GGCAAGGUGGCCGAGCGGUCCAAGGCGCCAGGUUCAGGUCAACCUGAAUUUCCGGAUCCUUCCAUAGGAAAGAUCUUUCCUGGUCUCCGAAAGGGGGCGUGAGUUCGAAUCUCACCCUUGUCA
rnacentral:tRNA from 1 species